rnacentral:rRNA from 1 species
UACGGAGGGGGCUAGCGUUGUUCGGAAUUACUGGGCGUAAAGCGGGUGUAGGCGGAUCUCUAAGUCGGAGGUGAAAGCCCGGGGCUUAACCUCGGAAUGGCCUUCGAUACUGGAGAUCUCGAGUUCAGGAGAGGUGAGUGGAAUUCCGAGUGUAGAGGUGAAAUUCGUAGAUAUUCGGAGGAACACCAGAGGCGAAGGCGGCUCACUGGACUGAUACUGACGCUGAAACCCGAAAGCGUGGGGAGCAAACAGG